rnacentral:pre_miRNA from 1 species
AAUAUACUCCCUCCGUCCGGAAAUACUUGUCCUGAAAAUAAAGAAAAUAAAUGUAUCUAUAAUUAAAAUAAGUCUAGAUACAUCCAUUUCUAGGACAAGUAUUUCCGGACGGAGGGAGUAUAAG